rnacentral:rRNA from 1 species
UACGGAGGGUGCAAGCGUUGUCCGGAAUCACUGGGCGUAAAGGGCGCGUAGGCGGCUCGGUAAGUAGGGGGUGAAAUCCUGCGGCUUAACCGCAGGGCUGCCUUCUAAACUGUCGAGCUUGAGCACGGUAGAGGCAGAUGGAAUUCCCGGUGUAGCGGUGGAAUGCGUAGAGAUCGGGAAGAACAUCAGUGGCGAAGGCGGUCUGCUGGGCCGUUGCUGACGCUGAGGCGCGACAGCGUGGGGGAGCAAACAGGG